UUAGCUUUUGGCUGCAGCCCAUGCCUUGGCCUGGGGGAGAUGAUGAGAACCAAAUCAGUGGUGCCAGUCAUCCCCCUCCACCAUGACUCUGCAGCUCCUUGCAGUGAGGAGCCACCUCUGUCUGUGGUGUCCUUGCUUGUGGGAAUCAGAAAAGCAGAAACUUCCACAGGCGCUGAAGGGUUUGAUCUCCAGCCUGAAAAGAAGUUUAAAUGGAUGUAAAAACACAAUGCGCAGACAGUUUAAAGGUUGACUGUGAUUUGGUUUCACUCAUCCUUAUCGGCAUCUCCUGCUCUGGCUGCUUUUGUUUUGGGAUCAGAUCUCCCUCUGCCUUUUCCCCACAUUCUCUCCCAAGGGAAAAAGGAGAAGCUGCAGCAAUUCCAUCUCCCUGUUGGGUGUGGAGAGCCAGGGGAUCCAGAGAUUCUGCUAGAAAAAGGCGUUCACACAUUUAUUCUCCUUUUAUCUGCCAAAUUUUCAAUCACAGAGCUGUUGCUUGUUCUGGAUCAUAUUCCAAUUCAAAGGUUAGCAUGGGGGAAAAAUAAUAUUUCAUGGGGGAUAAUUUGAUAUAUAAGAGCCUAAGAAAAAGAGAGGAUAAAAGUUCCUUCUGAAAAGGAAACUGAAAAUUAAAAAUAAGCAUAUGAACAAAUCCCAGUGAUAUGUAUUUUCUGUCCAUUUUGACAAGGCUUCAUUUGUGAAAAAGACUCUGGAGUAUAAAAAGAUGAGCCCUGGGGAGUUUAUGUCUCCAAGCUAUACAAUAAUAAAAAAUUUCCAAACACACAAAAACCCCCAAAACCCCAAAAAACAAAACAACUAAACAAAACAACAGAGCAAAAAAAAAAAAAUAAAAAAAAGAACAAAAGAAAACAACAACAGCAACAACAAAACCCCAUAUGGAAAUCUUUUCACAGCAUACUGAAACUGAGACAAAAAUCUGCAUGUAUAAGAAAAGUAAAAACCCCUUUUUAUUGGGAAGAAUCUCAGAAAAUAUUUAGAAAUUUAUUAUUUAUGUAUAUGCAAAAAACUUUGACAGUUAAGCAAAUCCAAAUAAUGUUUCAGCCUUAA